GAUGAACGCUGGCGGCGUGCCUAAUACAUGCAAGUCGAGCGAACAGACGAGGAGCUUGCUCCUCUGACGUUAGCGGCGGACGGGUGAGUAACACGUGGAUAACCUACCUAUAAGACUGGGAUAACUUCGGGAAACUGGAGCUAAUACCGGAUAAUAUAUUGAACCGCAUGGUUCAAUAGUGAAAGACGGUUUUGCGGUCACGUAUAGAUGGAUCCGCGCCGCAUUAGCUAGUUGGGAAGGUAACGGCUUACCAAGGCAACGAUGCGUAGCCGACCUGAGAGGGUGGUCGGCCACACUGGAACUGAGACACGGUCCAGACUCCUACGGGAGGCAGCAGUAGGGAAUCUUCCGCAAUGGGCGAAAUCCUGACGGAGCAGCGCCGCGUGAGUGAUGAAGGUCUUCGGAUCGUAAAACUCUGUUAUUAGGGAAGAACAAAUGUGUAAGUAACUAUGCACGUCUUGACGGUACCUAAUCAGAAAGCCACGGCUAACUACGUG
rnacentral:rRNA from 1 species